CAGGCCUAACACAUGCAAGUCGAACGCUGUAUUUAUACAGAGUGGCGCACGGGUGAGUAGCACGUGGGAAUCUGCCCUUCUCUGCGGGACAACAGUUGGAAACGACUGCUAAUACCGCAUACGCCCUUCGGGGGAAAGGUCCGCCGGAGAAGGAGGAGCCCGCGUCUGAUUAGCUUGUUGGUGGGGUAAUGGCCUACCAAGGCGACGAUCAGUAGCUGGUCUGAGAGGAUGAUCAGCCACACUGGGACUGAGACACGGCCCAGACUCCUACGGGAGGCAGCAGUGGGGAAUAUUGGACAAUGGAGGAAACUCUGAUCCAGCAAUGCCGCGUGUGUGAUGAAGGCCCUAGGGUUGUAAAGCACUUUCAUUGGUGAAGAUGAUGACGGUAACCAAAGAAGAAGCCCCGGCUAACUUCGUGCCAGCAGCCGCGGUAAUACGAAGGGGGCGAGCGUUGUUCGGAAUUACUGGGCGUAAAGGGAGCGCAGGCGGUUCAAUUAGUUAGGCGUGAAAGCCCCGGGCUCAACCUGGGAACUGCGCUUAAUACUGUUGAGCUAGAAUACAGAAGAGGAUAGUGGAAUUCCCAGUGUAGAGGUGAAAUUCGUAGAUAUUGGGAAGAACACCGGUGGCGAAAGCGGCUAUCUGGUCUGUU
rnacentral:rRNA from 1 species